GUUCUCUCUGAGGUCCCUUCAACUCCAAAACUCAAGGAUUAUGUGAUGUUGCUAGAAGGAUUUCUACAUCAGUUCCUGAUUCUUUCCAGGCAUCUAAGCUGAGAUAGUCAUGAAUUUCGAUGGUACUCAAAGAAGAAGAGGAAAUUUCAGCACAUCUAUUCUUUCAACAUGUCUGAUAUUUUGGGAACAAACCUUGAAGUGGUGCACAGUUCAGGCACAAGGUCAUUUGAGGUUUGACUCCAUUGUCACUCUGGACCACACCUUCCAUUUUGCCUCAAUAGGACUUAGGUCAACCAAGCACAGUGAGAGUUAAAACAAAAAUCUCAAGACAAAAAUCUUGAUAGAGUCACCACUUUUUUGUUUCAAAAAUGUGUUUUUAUUUCUAUUGACACAUAUUUCAAGAGAGAACAGGAACUGAAUAAAAAAUCACUGUAUUCACUAAAAGAGAUAUCUUCCUAUUGCCUUGUUACAGAUAGUUUUUUUUUGAACCGCUAGUUGCUAAAACUAAUGAUUACCUCUGGCCUCAGUUGGAAAUAACCUACUAUCCAAUUAUAG
rnacentral:lncRNA from 1 species